AUUAAAAUAGACUAAGGUAAAGUUAUUAGACUCAUAAUCUAAAGAUAUAAAUUUAUUAUUUUUAAUA
rnacentral:tRNA from 1 species